rnacentral:rRNA from 1 species
AUUGAACGCUGGCGGCAUGCCUUACACAUGCAAGUCGAACGGUAACAGGUUAAGCUGACGAGUGGCGAACGGGUGAGUAAUAUAUCGGAACGUGCCCAGUCGUGGGGGAUAACUGCUCGAAAGAGCAGCUAAUACCGCAUACGACCUGAGGGUGAAAGCGGGGGAUCGCAAGACCUCGCGCGAUUGGAGCGGCCGAUAUCAGAUUAGGUAGUUGGUGGGGUAACGGCCCACCAAGCCAACGAUCUGUAGCUGGUCUGAGAGGAAGACCAGCCACACUGGGACUGAGACACGGCCCAGACUCCGACGGGAGGCAGCAGUGGGGAAUUUUGGACAAUGGUCGCAAGCCUGAUCCAGCCAUGCCGCGUGCGGGAAGAAGGCCUUCGGGUUGUAAACCGCUUUUGUCAGGGAAGAAAAGGUUCUGGUUAAUACCUGGGACUCAUGACGGUACCUGAAGAAUAAGCACCGGCUAACUACGUGCCAGCCGCCGCCGUAA